CCCACACCGGCGCCUCUCCAUGGCAGCGCGCAGCCCGACCCGCCAGCAUCCCCUGCAGGUUGGCCCGGCAGCCGCAGCCACGUCAUCCUUCCCCACGCGCCUCUGAUCUCCUCAUUUGCGCUGCCCCGGGCACCCGGCCCCUUGCCACCAGUCUACCUCCGCAGCCACCAACCAAAGCCGCUCUCCCCGGCCCCCAGCAACCACAGCGAGCUCACUCCGUCCCCUAGCGGCCCUCCGACCUCCCCAUCCACACCGCCGCCAGGCCCCUACACGACGGCGCCGCCGACGACCCAUGGCACGCCUCGAUCGGCUCCCUCUGCUAUGUCGUCGUCCUCUGCUGAGGCGACCAUCAGUCCCCUGCUUUCGACUGGCGCGGUUGCGUCUGUCGCCGGCGCCCCUUCCCCGACGGCGGCCACCGUCGCCCCCUACGCGGGCGUGUCCCUUGACACUGCUGCCGCCGUCGGAAGUCUCC
rnacentral:misc_RNA from 1 species